rnacentral:rRNA from 1 species
GGGUCAGUAGGUUGGUCGUGCCACCGGUACGUACUGGUCUCACUGAUUCCUCCUUCCUGAAGAACCGUAAUGCCAUUAAUUUGGUGUUGCGGGGAAACAGGACUGAUACUUUGUAAAAGUUAGAGUGUUUAAAGCAAGCUAACGCUUGAAUACAUUAGCAUGGAAUAAUGAAAUAGGACGAUCGAUCCUAUUUUGUUGGUUUCUAGGAUUGACGUA